rnacentral:misc_RNA from 1 species
AAGUAGCAAGAGCAAAUCCAGCAAUAUUAGUAAAAUCAACACAUUUUUUAGCCAAGUCCUUAAGGAGCAAGUAAUCCUAGCAUUAGUUGGCUCCAACCCAAAAGCCUUGGAGACAUUCUGGGAAGACCUGAGCUGGAGGCUGGUCCUAGCAGGCACAGCCACCUUGGUGGGUUGCAUGAGUGUUUCUGCUGCUUGUAGUGAGGCUACCGUGGUUUCACUUUCCUCGCCUUCUUCCUCUUGUGGAAAUGUAUUCCCCAUCAGUAAUAAGAAAUAAAAGUGUUUUUGUACGGGGAGAGAUGGCUUUGGUGCGAGUAAGAUAAGGGAUAGGAUAAGGUUUUCUCUUAUUGGUUGAUAGAAGCUAAUGAAAAUGGUUUUGGAGUUUGCCACGGGGCAAGUUUCUUAUUCAAGAUAUAGAUCCUCCCUUAUUCAGAGUGGAUGAUUUUGCUGGAUUAAUUCUAAAUCCUAUCUGCCAACUGUAG